rnacentral:tRNA from 1 species
CCCCUGGAGGACUAGUGGUUAUGCCACAGUGCUCUCACCACCACGACCCGGGUUUGAUUCCCGGCCAGGGAA